rfam:Marinobacter sp. AC-23 IonXpress_010_rawlib.basecaller_c28, whole genome shotgun sequence.
CGGGGCGUAGCGCAGCUUGGUAGCGCACUUGCAUGGGGUGCAAGGGGUCGAAGGUUCAAAUCCUUCCGUCCCGA